GUACAGAGGUCUCAAGCGUUGUUCGGAUUGCAUUGGGCGUAAAGGGUGCGUAGGCGGCGCGGUAAGUCGGGUGUGAAAUCUCGGAGCUUAACUCCGAAACUGCAUUCGAUACUGCCGUGCUUGAGGACUGGAGAGGAGACUGGAAUUUACGGUGUAGCGGUGAAAUGCGUAGAUAUUGGGAGGAACACCAGUGGCGAAGGCGGCUCGACUGGACCGGUACGUGACGCUGAUGCGCGAAAGCGUGGGGAGCAAA
rnacentral:rRNA from 1 species